rnacentral:rRNA from 2 species
GCAGUCGAACGAACUCUGGUAUUGAUUGGUGCUUACAUCAUGAUUUACAUUUGACUAAGUGGCGAACUGGUGAGUAACACGUGGGAAACCUGCCCAGAAGCGGGGGAUAACACCUGGAAACAGAUGCUAAUACCGCAUAACAACUUGGACCGCAUGGUCCGAGUUUGAAAGAUGGCUUCGGCUAUCACUUUUGGAUGGUCCCGCGGCGUAUUAGCUAGAUGGUGGGGUAACGGCUCACCAUGGCAAUGAUACGUAGCCGACCUGAGAGGGUAAUCGGCCACAUUGGGACUGAGACACGGCCCAAACUCCUACGGGAGGCAGCAGUAGGGAAUCUUCCACAAUGGACGAAAGUCUGAUGGAGCAACGCCGCGUGAGUGAAGAAGGGUUUCGGCUCGUAAAACUCUGUUGUUAAAGAAGAACAUAUCUGAGAGUAACUGUUCAGGUAUUGACGGUAUUUAACCAGAAAGCCACGGCUAACUACGUGCCAGCAGCCGCGGUAAUACGUAGGUGGCAAGCGUUGUCCGGAUUUAUUGGGCGUAAAGCGAGCGCAGGCGGUUUUUUAAGUCUGAUGUGAAAGCCUUCGGCUCAACCGAAGAAGUGCAUCGGAAACUGGGAAACUUGAGUGCAGAAGAGGACAGUGGAACUCCAUGUGUAGCGGUGAAAUGCGUAGAUAUAUGGAAGAACACCAGUGGCGAAGGCGGCUGUCUGGUCUGUAACUGACGCUGAGGCUCGAAAGUAUGGGUAGCAAACAGGAUUAGAUACCCUGGUAGUCCAUACCGUAAACGAUGAAUGCUAAGUGUUGGAGGGUUUCCGCCCUUCAGUGCUGCAGCUAACGCAUUAAGCAUUCCGCCUGGGGAGUACGGCCGCAAGGCUGAAACUCAAAGGAAUUGACGGGGGCCCGCACAAGCGGUGGAGCAUGUGGUUUAAUUCGAAGCUACGCGAAGAACCUUACCAGGUCUUGACAUACUAUGCAAAUCUAAGAGAUUAGACGUUCCCUUCGGGGACAUGGAUACAGGUGGUGCAUGGUUGUCGUCAGCUCGUGUCGUGAGAUGUUGGGUUAAGUCCCGCAACGAGCGCAACCCUUAUUAUCAGUUGCCAGCAUUAAGUUGGGCACUCUGGUGAGACUGCCGGUGACAAACCGGAGGAAGGUGGGGAUGACGUCAAAUCAUCAUGCCCCUUAUGACCUGGGCUACACACGUGCUACAAUGGAUGGUACAACGAGUUGCGAACUCGCGAGAGUAAGCUAAUCUCUUAAAGCCAUUCUCAGUUCGGAUUGUAGGCUGCAACUCGCCUACAUGAAGUCGGAAUCGCUAGUAAUCGCGGAUCAGCAUGCCGCGGUGAAUACGUUCCCGGGCCUUGUACACACCGCCCGUCACACCAUGAGAGUUUGUAACACCCAAAGUCGGUGGGUAACCUUU